rnacentral:ncRNA from 1 species
ACCAGAAGAGGCGCGGUACUCAGGCAGCAGGGCAGUGGAUGGCAGAUCCUGUACUGUCCUGCCAGGGGAUGUACCGCCGAGACAGUCAGGUUCUGUCCUGUCUGACUGUCGGCUACGGAGGCUGAAUCCUUCGAGCUGUCACUUUUGUGGAGCGCUUCUGG